CCCUUAUGUGCCCUGGUCAACUCAAGAAAACUCUUGGUGAUACUCUCAAUGUGUCUCAGCCUCCCAUUCUCAGCCAGAACAGCUUAGCAAAUAAAACAUAAAGAACAAUUAGCAAGAAGUACCUAUAUAAUCAUGUGUAAUAACAAUAAGCAAGAGGUACAUGUAAACUCAUAUGACCCCAUAUAGCAUGAACCUCUAAUGUCGUGAAAUUACGUCCCACAGUGAUUAACAGUUC